rnacentral:rRNA from 1 species
GCAAGUCGAACGAGAUCUUCGGAUCUAGUGGCGCACGGGUGAGUAACGCGUGGGAACCUACCUUUUAGUACGGGACAACGUUUGGAAACGAACGCUAAUACCGUAUACGCCCUCCGGGGGAAAGGUCCGCCGGAGAAAGAGGGGCCCGCGUCUGAUUAGCUUGUUGGUAGGGUAAUGGCCUACCAAGGCGACGAUCAGUAUCUGGUUUGAGAGGACGAUC